rnacentral:rRNA from 1 species
UACAGAGGCCCCUAGCGUUGUUCGGAAUUACUGGGCGUAAAGCGGGUGUAGGUGGUGAUUCAAGUCAGAUGUGAAAGCCCGGAGCUUAACUCCGGAAUUGCAUUUGAUACUGGAUCGCUAGAGUGUAGUAGAGGAGAGUGGAAUUCCAGGUGUAGGGGUGAAAUCCGUAGAUAUCUGGAGGAAUACCAAUGGCGAAGGCAGCUCUCUGGCCUAUAACUGACACUGAGACCCGAAAGCGUGGGUAGCAAACAGG